rnacentral:rRNA from 1 species
GCACGGGUGCGUAACGCGUAUAGAAUCUACCUUGUACUAGGGGAUAGCCUUUGGAAACGAAGAUUAAUACCCUAUAGUAAGUAUUUAUGGCAUCAUUUAUACUUUAAAGGUUACGGUACAAGAUGACUAUGCGUCCUAUUAGUUUGUUGGUGAGGUAACGGCUCACCAAGACUUCGAUAGGUAGGGGCCCUGAGAGGGGGAUCCCCCACACUGGUACUGAGACACGGACCAGACUCCUACGGGAGGCAGCAGUGAGGAAUAUUGGACAAUGGAGGAGACUCUGAUCCAGCCAUGCCGCGUGUAGGAAGAAUGCCCUAUGGGUUGUAAACUACUUUUAUACAGGAAGAAACACUGGUAUGUAUACCAGCUUGACGGUACUGUAAGAAUAAGGACCGG